UGGGGUGUAAUUCAGUGGUAGAAUGUUUGCUUAGCAUGCAUGAGGCCCUGAGUUCAAUCUCUGACACCACAA
rnacentral:tRNA from 1 species